CUUAAUUCCUUUCCCCUUGAGUGUAUGUUAAUUUUAAGGACUAAUGUCUAAUGAUUUGGGUAGAACAGAUGUGAAGGUAUUCACUUCUGAGAUUCGAGUGUAAAAAAUCUGCAGCUUUCUCAUUGGGAAUGUGCUUCUUCUGUCCUGGCUCACUGACUUGGGGAGAAACCACGUCAUGUACAGCCCUGUGGAGAGGCCAUGUAAGGAGGAACUCAAGCUUCUUGCCAGCAUCCAGGGGAGCGAGCUUAGAAAUGGAACCCCAACCCAGCCAACCCUCCAUAGCCUGCAGCCCAGCUGACAAUUCAGUACAACUAAGUGAAAGAUCCUGAAAAAGAACCAUCAGCUCCAAGUUUCCUGACCCUCAGAAACUGACUUCUUCUAAAGCUCGUGUCUGAAGGAUUGGAGGUCUGUCCUAGAAAGCAGCCCAGGGAGAGAAUCAGCCGUGAAGUGACCUGCCAAUAUUUUAGACCUCGAUUAAUCUGGCUGUGGAAAUAGUGACUGUCUUUUAAUUUUUUUUUUAUCAAAAUAACUUAGAGUGUCCCUUAGAGAAUUUCAGAUACUCCUAUAAUCCUGUAAGGACUGAACUAUUCUAAGACUCCACAGGUCCUGUUUUCAAAGAGAUUACAAUGUAGUGGUAAAAGUGGGUAUAGGCAUAAAAAGCCAAACAGUAUUUGUGUUUCUCAUUAUAAAGCCUACCCUGGGAUGCCAAUAGUUUCCCGUUACUAAAUACUUUCUCUUCUUUAUGGUCUCAUAGAAUGUACAUAGCAUUAAAGUUCUCUGAAAACAGCAUUAGAAGUUAUUCAUCUUUCUUCUAGCUGUAAUGCAAGCAGAAGCUUAUAUGAAGCAUCACAGGAGGAAGAAGAAACAAAAGAAACAUUCAUUGAUUGCUACAGUUUCAGAAAAGGAUUUCUAGAAGCAAUAUCACAAAUUCAGAAGCCCAUUAUUCAGUAAUAAAUGUUGUCAUCAUGGAGGGUGGCUUUGUUCAUGAGAAUUAGAUUAAAAUAAACAUAUUUAUAAGCUACAUAUCAGAGAUUAAUCCAGGGCUAAUGCAGUCUUAAUACACUUGAUCACUUUAACUUCUUGCUAAUGGUACCUUGGGUUACCAAGCAUGAGGUCACUUUUUUAUUCAUCCUAUCAUUGGAAUUGGAAUCUUAACACAUCAUCUAGUUUACAAUCUUUUAUUUUAUACCUGAAGAGACUGACUCCCAAGGAUGUUAAGCAAUUACUCCCAGUCCACACAGGUAGUGAUAUUGCUAUAAUAGAAGAUGGAUUAUUUGUCCAUGGAUUUGCAAGGGAAGAGAAUAUUCCUUUCCAAACAUUCAAAGAUACACAUGGAAAAUUAGACAUUUUCAAUAUUUUUUUAAGUUUAUUUUGAGAGUGUGCAUGGGUGUGCAAACACAAGAGGGUAUGCAUGA